rnacentral:rRNA from 1 species
GAUGAACGCUGGCGGCGUGCCUAAUACAUGCAAGUCGAGCGAACAGACGAGGAGCUUGCUCCUCUGACGUUAGCGGCGGACGGGUGAGUAACACGUGGAUAACCUACCUAUAAGACUGGGAUAACUUCGGGAAACCGGAGCUAAUACCGGAUAACAUGUUGAACCGCAUGGUUCAACAGUGAAAGACGGUCUCGCUGUCGCUUAUAGAUGGAUCCGCGCCGCAUUAGCUAGUUGGUAAGGUAACGGCUUACCAAGGCAACGAUGCGUAGCCGACCUGAGAGGGUGAUCGGCCACACUGGAACUGAGACACGGUCCAGACUCCUACGGGAGGCAGCAGUAGGGAAUCUUCCGCAAUGGGCGAAAGCCUGACGGAGCAACGCCGCGUGAGUGAAGAAGGUCUUCGGAUCGUAAAACUCUGUUAUUAGGGAAGAACAAAUGUGUAAGUAACUAUGCACGUCUUGACGGUACCUAAUCAGAAAGCCACGGCUAACUACGUG